GCUGGGCAUGGUGGUGUGCGUCUGUAGUCCCAGCUACUCGGGAGGCUGAGGCAGGAGAAUUGCUUGAACCCAGGAGGCGGAAGUUGCGGUGAGCCCAGAUCGCGCCAUUGCACUCCAGCCUGGGUAACAAGAGUGAAACUCCGUCUCAAAAAAAAAAAAAAGAAAUGUCCCGGGAGCGGGGGACCACCAGGUUGCCUAAGGAGGGGUGAACUGGCCCAGGUCGGAAACGAAGUAGGUCAAAACUCCGGUGCUUAUCAGUAGUGGGAUCGCACCUGUGAAUAGCCACUGCACUCCAGCCUGAC
rnacentral:SRP_RNA from 1 species